rnacentral:rRNA from 1 species
GGGUUGUGAGGUUAAGCGACUAAGCGUACACGGUGGAUGCCCUGGCAGUCAGAGGCGAUGAAGGACGUGCUAAUCUGCGAUAAGCGUCGGUAAGGUGAUAUGAACCGUUAUAACCGGCGAUUUCCGAAUGGGGAAACCCAGUGUGAUUCGUCACACUAUCAUUAACUGAAUCCAUAGGUUAAUGAGGCGAACCGGGGGAACUGAAACAUCUAAGUACCCCGAGGAAAAGAAAUCAACCGAGAUUCCCCCAGUAGCGGCGAGCGAACGGGGAGCAGCCCAGAGCCUGAAUCAGUGUGUGUGUUAGUGGAAGCGUCUGGAAAGGCGCGCGAUACAGGGUGACAGCCCCGUACACAAAAAUGCACAUGCUGUGAGCUCGAUGAGUAGGGCGGGACACGUGGUAUCCUGUCUGAAUAUGGGGGGACCAUCCUCCAAGGCUAAAUACUCCUGACUGACCGAUAGUGAACCAGUACCGUGAGGGAAAGGCGAAAAGAACCCCGGCGAGGGGAGUGAAAAAAGAACCUGAAACCGUGUACGUACAAGCAGUGGGAGCACAGAGCAAUCUGUGUGACUGCGUACCUUUUGUAUAAUGGGUCAGCGACUUAUAUUCUGUAGCAAGGUUAACCGAAUAGGGGAGCCGAAGGGAAACCGAGUCUUAACUGGGCGUUAAGUUGCAGGGUAUAGACCCGAAACCCGGUGAUCUAGCCAUGGGCAGGUUGAAGGUUGGGUAACACUAACUGGAGGACCGAACCGACUAAUGUUGAAAAAUUAGCGGAUGACUUGUGGCUGGGGGUGAAAGGCCAAUCAAACCGGGAGAUAGCUGGUUCUCCCCGAAAGCUAUUUAGGUAGCGCCUCGUGAAUUCAUCUCCGGGGGUAGAGCACUGUUUCGGCAAGGGGGUCAUCCCGACUUACCAACCCGAUGCAAACUGCGAAUACCGGAGAAUGUUAUCACGGGAGACACACGGCGGGUGCUAACGUCCGUCGUGAAGAGGGAAACAACCCAGACCGCCAGCUAAGGUCCCAAAGUCAUGGUUAAGUGGGAAACGAUGUGGGAAGGCCCAGACAGCCAGGAUGUUGGCUUAGAAGCAGCCAUCAUUUAAAGAAAGCGUAAUAGCUCACUGGUCGAGUCGGCCUGCGCGGAAGAUGUAACGGGGCUAAACCAUGCACCGAAGCUGCGGCAGCGACGCUGAUGCGUUGUUGGGUAGGGGAGCGUUCUGUAAGCCUGCGAAGGUGUGCUGUGAGGCAUGCUGGAGGUAUCAGAAGUGCGAAUGCUGACAUAAGUAACGAUAAAGCGGGUGAAAAGCCCGCUCGCCGGAAGACCAAGGGUUCCUGUCCAACGUUAAUCGGGGCAGGGUGAGUCGACCCCUAAGGCGAGGCCGAAAGGCGUAGUCGAUGGGAAACAGGUUAAUAUUCCUGUACUUGGUGUUACUGCGAAGGGGGGACGGAGAAGGCUAUGUUGGCCGGGCGACGGUUGUCCCGGUUUAAGCGUGUAGGCUGGUUUUCCAGGCAAAUCCGGAAAAUCAAGGCUGAGGCGUGAUGACGAGGCACUACGGUGCUGAAGCAACAAAUGCCCUGCUUCCAGGAAAAGCCUCUAAGCAUCAGGUAACAUCAAAUCGUACCCCAAACCGACACAGGUGGUCAGGUAGAGAAUACCAAGGCGCUUGAGAGAACUCGGGUGAAGGAACUAGGCAAAAUGGUGCCGUAACUUCGGGAGAAGGCACGCUGAUAUGUAGGUGAAGUCCCUCGCGGAUGGAGCUGAAAUCAGUCGAAGAUACCAGCUGGCUGCAACUGUUUAUUAAAAACACAGCACUGUGCAAACACGAAAGUGGACGUAUACGGUGUGACGCCUGCCCGGUGCCGGAAGGUUAAUUGAUGGGGUCAGCGCAAGCGAAGCUCUUGAUCGAAGCCCCGGUAAACGGCGGCCGUAACUAUAACGGUCCUAAGGUAGCGAAAUUCCUUGUCGGGUAAGUUCCGACCUGCACGAAUGGCGUAAUGAUGGCCAGGCUGUCUCCACCCGAGACUCAGUGAAAUUGAACUCGCUGUGAAGAUGCAGUGUACCCGCGGCAAGACGGAAAGACCCCGUGAACCUUUACUAUAGCUUGACACUGAACAUUGAGCCUUGAUGUGUAGGAUAGGUGGGAGGCUUUGAAGUGUGGACGCCAGUCUGCAUGGAGCCGACCUUGAAAUACCACCCUUUAAUGUUUGAUGUUCUAACGUGGACCCGUAAUCCGGGUUGCGGACAGUGUCUGGUGGGUAGUUUGACUGGGGCGGUCUCCUCCUAAAGAGUAACGGAGGAGCACGAAGGUUGGCUAAUCCUGGUCGGACAUCAGGAGGUUAGUGCAAUGGCAUAAGCCAGCUUGACUGCGAGCGUGACGGCGCGAGCAGGUGCGAAAGCAGGUCAUAGUGAUCCGGUGGUUCUGAAUGGAAGGGCCAUCGCUCAACGGAUAAAAGGUACUCCGGGGAUAACAGGCUGAUACCGCCCAAGAGUUCAUAUCGACGGCGGUGUUUGGCACCUCGAUGUCGGCUCAUCACAUCCUGGGGCUGAAGUAGGUCCCAAGGGUAUGGCUGUUCGCCAUUUAAAGUGGUACGCGAGCUGGGUUUAGAACGUCGUGAGACAGUUCGGUCCCUAUCUGCCGUGGGCGCUGGAGAACUGAGGGGGGCUGCUCCUAGUACGAGAGGACCGGAGUGGACGCAUCACUGGUGUUCGGGUUGUCAUGCCAAUGGCACUGCCCGGUAGCUAAAUGCGGAAGAGAUAAGUGCUGAAAGCAUCUAAGCACGAAACUUGCCCCGAGAUGAGUUCUCCCUGACUCCUUGAGAGUCCUGAAGGAACGUUGAAGACGACGACGUU